rnacentral:rRNA from 1 species
AUACGGGAGGUCCGGGCGUUAUCCGGAUUUAUUGGGUUUAAAGGGAGCGCAGGCGGAGAUGCAAGCGUGACGUCAAAUUUCGGGGCUCAACCCCGUCUCGCGUCGCGAACUGCGUGCCUUGGUUGCGGGAAGGGGAGGCGGAACUUGUGGUGUAGCGGUGAAAUGCAUAGAUAUCACGAAGAACUCCGAUCGCGAAGGCAGCCUUCCGGCCCGUCAACGACGCUCAUGCUCGAAGGUGCGGGUAUCAAACAGGAUUAGAUACCCUGGUAGUCCGCACAGUAAACGAUGGACACCCGCGGUUUGGCCUGUAUGGCUGAGCCGCCAAGCGAAAGCGUUAAGUGUCCCACCUGGGGAGUACGCCGGCAACGGUGAAACUCAAAGGAAUUGACGGGG